AAGCCUCAGCAAUGGGCACAUCCCCUGCCAGUGACAACUCUGAGCUCACAAGGCCAUCAGAACAACCCAGUUCUAUAAGUUUAUAAGUUAAUCUAGUUUGGUGUUGGCAACCUUCAGCCUCUUUCAGUUAUCCUUGCGGUGCUGUUUAAACAUCUGAGCUGCCUUGCUUGGAAAGUGGUUCGUUCAAGACUGCAGUGUGAACACUUCUCCCUGGGAGGACCUAGGCUGUGCCAGCAUAAGAAGCUCCCGUGACAGCCCCACAGUUGUGACAGUACAUCAGUAUUGGGACAGAAGGGGGAAGGAACUCCUUACGUCACAUAUUGGCAAUAGAAGCACUGCUCCUGUAAUCACGGUCUUUGUUAGAGGUAUGCAAUAAAGCAGGAAUUCCAUGCUGGAGUGGGACACUUGAGUGCUCUUCUACCAGACAUGUGGACAUGAGGCUCCAGCCCUUCUGUGAGAGGAUGCUUCACACUGAAUCACCAUCAGCAUCUCCCACCACCAAACCUUCCAUGUUCUUAUAGAAAGCGUCACUUUGAGCAAAAGACUUGAAAAAGAUCCCCACGUUACUAAUUGAUUUUACCAGGGGCAGCUUGGUGUGCUUUACACCAAAGGAUACAAAAGUCACCAUCAAAUUUAGCCCCCUUUAAGAGUUUCCAAUUCCCAUUUUAUCAUGGACUUCUUAUGAAGUGUAUUUUAAAGACAGCUGCAUUAAAUUCCACUUUUGCUUUUAAGCAGUGCUACCAAUCUAAUUAAGUCACCAUCUUCCAAGCUCACACUGUAGACAAGCAACACUGUUUUCCAGAGGACUUUAAGUCCUUCUGAGCUCCGUGGAGCCAAGUUCAGAUGUGCCUAAGCACAACAGAAAAUACCUGCACCCAUUUAAGAGCCAGGUGGAAAUACCCCCGGGAUGGCCAGCCGAGCAACUCAAAAUGGAAACAAGGUGUUUUCUUCUCCUGCAGCACAAAAUGAAUCAUGAAAAUACAUCCAAACAAACUGGAAAAUGAAAGCAGGAUUAAAAGAGGGAUGUUUGGAAGCACACCACACAGCUUUAUUCUAAACUAAACUUAUCUGCAGUAGUAGCCAUGCUCAUAUUUUAGUACAACCAGGGUUUUGCUUCCCCGUAUCAGAAAGCUGGAGAUGUUCUCCAGCUUUACUCUGCAGUCCUGCAUAUCUUGUUGGCUACUCCUCUGAGGCAUCCAAUCAACCUGACCACAUUCAUUCGUUAUUGAUUGCAUUCGGGAUCUCAUCUGCAACUUCAGUGACGACGGGAAAACCCAAGGAGUCUGGAAUGAGCAAGAUAAGCUCAGCUGAAUGUGGCUGUUAGCAAUUCAAGUCUUCAAAAACCACAGGAGCAUUACUCUAGUAAAGACCAGAAGCAGUAUCUGAAUUCCAGUACUUAAAUCUUGAGCCCCAGGUAGGAGCAACUAGCUGGAAGCCCUGGGAAGUACAGAGCUGCUGGUGGCUUGCAGCAUUCCCUUCAUUCAUUCAACUCCAAAGUGCUGAAGACCAUGAACUAUGAACACUGCCUCUCGUUCCCAUGUUCUGGACAUAACUAGUGGCUAGUUCUAUGUCCAUCAUUACUCUACCUUAAUAUUUAAAACUCCUAUACUGGAUUUCAAGCAGUACUUUCCUUUUUCCCUCCCUUUUUCCCUCCUUCCCUCCAAGCCUAGGCUGGGGAAUACCACGCUUUCUGUUCCUGAGAUCCAAACCAUGGAUGCCCCUUCAUGGCAUUCAGUGACCUCAGGAAUUGAUGCUGGUGGAGUGCAGACCAUUUUCUCACUCUCUGUUCUGGCCUGGAAAUUGCCCUUGUUGUCCUACUCUGCAUCCUCAGCGUCCAUCCCAUUUACCUCUACCUGCAAUAGGAAGGUCGGGGCCUCUAUUGCUUUUGACAGUUGAAUGAGCCUUCAUAAUUCUGUUUGGCAGGACACCAUCUUCCCAUCAGCCUUCCAGAAGUUUUUAAUUAAUUUAUACUUUUUGACCUACACAACAGCCUCUGGCGGUAGGAAUUUUCAACAUCUCUGUACCAGGUCUAACAAUUUUCUCCGUCCGGACAUGAAAACCAUUCCACCUUUCUCAUAUACUCUCUGUGGGUGGAAUUCAGAUUAAAACACUUCGACUUCGUGGUGGAGUUAAGGUAUCUACCUCACAGAUUGACACCUACAGAUAGAAGCCUAAAUUUAGGUGUCUAGAUCUCUGAGCUAAAUAACUCCCACCCAUCAUUUUUAGUUCUAUCUUUUAUGCGACAGGAUGAACAGAAGUGCACGUAUUAAUCAAUAUGUGGGUUUGUCAAACAUUUACGUAGUGACAUAAUCAUAUAAUCAUGUUUUUCUUCUCCUUUUUUCUUUUUCAACAUUCUCUGUCAUUCAGUUUGAAUUUUUGAUUGCUGCUGGUCAUUACAUCAGUGCUUUCAGAGUGCUAUCCUACAGUCACUCUAUUUCUGAGUGAUAAUAACUUCAUGUUCAAUCCAUAACUGAAUAAGUAGAAAAUGUGAUUUAAUAUGUAUAUUCCCAGAGAAACUACUUUGCAUUUAUUAGCAUUGACUUUCACAUGCCACUUCUGACACAGUCACUCACUAUCAUGAGAUCCACCUUCCUCUCUUGGCGGGGUUAGAUGUGACUUUCUCAGUUAAUUUUGCGUCAUCCACAAACCUUGCCAGUACAUUAUUGAAAAGCACAGGUCCUAACUCUUAAUAGUUGUGUGACCAAAUCAUGAUGAUCCUUUCAGUAGGAACAUUGAUGUUUUCUCCCACUUUUUGUCCUAUUUUUUCUCUGUCUUAUUUACCUACAGGAGGACACCGUUUUUUUUUUUUAUCCCAGCAUAACUGCUUUAAGAGCCUUUGCAGGAAGACUUAUUGACAUUUGUUUGGGAGUCCUUACACACUAUAUCAACUAGAUCAGCCUUACCUACAAGCGUGUUGACAUCUUCAAAGAGUUCAAAUAGAUUUAUGAGACACGGUCUCCUUCUGCAAGAACUGUAAUGACUUUUUCCAAAUAAAUCACAUUUAUGAAACCGUCUACUGGUUCUCUUCUUUAUUAUUGCAGUUUUUACCCACUUAUUCAGUUUGGAAGUGAGAUCUCCUGAUCUAUGGUUUUUCACAUUAGUCCUGGAGUCCUUUUUCCUCAAGGCUGAAGACACAUUUGCCACUUCCCAUUCUUCUUGAAGUGUGGUCAACUUAAAUGACACUUUUCAUGCUACAUUUAGCUUUCUCUUAAUCUAGUGUUUGAGGUCUUUCAGAACUCUUGAUUGAGCAUCAUCUUAUCUUGGUGCCUUCUUACUGUUCGUCUUAUUGAUUUGUUCCAAAAUGUCCUCUACUGAAACUUCAUUUAGGGACAAUUCCUCAUACCCUCCACUGCUUCACCACUAAUGUACCCCCUUUCCAUCCUUCCUCUAUUAUUUGUUCCAUAUUAGAGCUUUCCACCUUUCUGCCAAGUUUCCGAGGCAUUUAUUAUAUCAAUAACUUCCUUUAAAAUCAGACAUUCUUGUUCACCUCUUUUAGGCUUCAGACUUGCAGCAUUUGUAUUUCUAUAUUUUUUAUUGAUCUAGUUGCCCAUUUUUCACAGGGCCUGCUUAGCCUGAACUUUAAUUGCUGAGACAAUUCUUUGCAAUUUCCUUACUCAAUACUAUUGAUUUCAGUUCUUUGCAUUUUUCUAAAUUACAAGAAUUUGCUUAUUUCUCUUGAAGAGGAGCUGCCAUCUUGAACCACGUUUUGCUGCUUAGUUGGUGAGUUUCCACAAAUCUCAACUAUAAAAAUAUCUCAUUGUUUCAGAAAGUUAAAACCUUGCAAUCUAGUUCCACGUUGAUUUAUAUAGCUUAUCUCUCUUGUAAAAGCUACCUCACCAACAACUGAAAAUCUGCUUGUCUGGUACUGGGACAAUUUAUAACACCAUGUUCCACUUUCACAAUUUCUUUUCCCACUCAUUCCUCUGUCAUUGGUAUCCGCAUGAUUCACAACUCUAACACUAAAUGUGGAUACAGAGAUCCAGAAAAGUCCUCAGCAGCACUGCAGAAAAGGAAACUUCCCCCCAGAUUUUAAUAAUGCAUUUUGGUUACAUUUCCCAGAAUGCGACUCUUGUGUUUAACUUCUGAUUUUCUCUAAUUCUUGUAUCUUGCCAUGAUAUGCUUCAGCCUCAGUCAGCAGUGUCUUUUUUUAUAUACUUGGAUAUUCAUUUGCUCUUUUGGCACAUUCGAGUCUUUUUAUUUCAUAUUCUUGAUCUUGAUUAAAAUUUUGACCCUGACCUUCAAAGUGCAUCUUGGGGUAUCCACAAAUCUUGUGACUGAGUUCUUUGUUAAACCAUACAAGCCAUUAAUUAACAUACUGAGUAGAACUGGGCCCAGGACACACCCUAGCCAGGCAUCAGUCAAAAUAACUUCUCAGUCUGACAGUGCACCAUUGCCACCCACAUGACAGUAACAUCACGUAUCUUCUAAAGGAUGAACCUGAAGCUGUGAACUGCAUCCUGCCUCCCAGGACAAUUGACUUGGCCAUAAUUUCUCUUACUCUUUUCCAAAUCCAGACCUGCAGAAAGGAGGGCUGCCCACUGGAUGGACUAUUUCGAGUUCACUGAAAGCCCACUUAUGGCCUCUGAUCAUGGCAGUAUGUGGAUCUAUCUGCACAUAUGCCAUAAAUCUCAUUGCCCCAGGAAGCACUGGCUCUUCUAUGCUUUCACAAUACAGUUAUGUGUUAGGAGAAGGGCUGCAACAUAUGGUCUCUCCCUUAUACAGAAAGAAGGUAAGUGUCUCACCCAGCCAGAAAUACUGGGCACACUGAUAUAGACCAUAUUUCUUUAGUCUGCUUCCGAGGGAAUAAUGUGGAACAGUUUCAAAAGCUUUCCUAAAGCAAAAUAUGUCCCAUCUGCUGCCUCCUCUUCAUCUACUAGACAUUAUUUUCUCAAAGAAGAAAAUUACAGUGAGAUUGCAUGAUUUAUUCUUGGUAAAUCUGUGGUGGGCUUUUUUGUGUUUGGGUUUUUUUUGGUUUUUUUGUUUUUCUUAAACCUUCUAUUUGCCCUCAAUUGAUCGUGUAUUUGAUUUUUUUUUUCAGACUCAUUUCCAUGAAGGGUGGUCUCUCCUUCCCUGAUUUUCAUUCCUCCAAAAGUUCACUGUUUGCCCUUGUACACUGCUCAGUGAUCUUACCUGCCCUUCCAGGAACUUCCAGGACAGUCACUAACGCUUCAGUAAUUGCUUCAGCCACUGUUUCACCCAGAGCAGUUUGAGGCCAGAGCUUCUGAUCUGGAAGAGCAAAGAUAGAACAAAUACAAGGCACAAAAACAGUGUAAAAGGACAUAAGCGGGUAGGCCAAGCCCAGAUUAGUUGCUCUUAUCUCCCCUUUGAGGAGGCUCAGGCUCCUCUCACAAUAGGCACUUUAGAAGAGCACAGCAUAGCAGGAAGCUGCCUCCCAGCUGAGGAAAAGCAAGCUGACAGCUCCAGGAAGGCUGUAUCUCAAAAUACAUUUAUAGUGAAGAACUUUUGGUCUACUGUGCUGAUGGGAAUUUAAAUACCAGGAGCAACGGUAGCUGUGGAUGUGAUGACAGAGAUUUGCAGACUUGUAGGCAGAACAUGAAGGGGUCUUUUAUGAGACACCUAUGUGGAUGCUAGAAAAUGCUAGGGAGGAGCAUGAGGUCCUACCACAUGUCACAGAUUUUAAAGGGAAAUGUAAGCGAAGGAUCCUGGAAGGCAAAGUCAAUCUGCUGGCUAGAAGAUUUAGCCCUAGGGUACUGUUGACAGUUUCUCCAAAACCCCUCCAGUUACACACACAACUCCAAUUAGGCAGAGGAGAAGAAGAUGCUAUCCGGAGGUGACGGUCUCCAUCAAAAGUCAAAAGUGAAAUCAGACUUUUCACAAGGAAAACGUAUAUGAUGUGUUUAAUUAAGUGGGAGCUGGGGGAAAUCUGUCAUGAGCUAAAGCAAACAUUACUAAGAGUUGGUAAAAUAAAAAUGCUCUGUGUAUCCAGCUAGUUCAGAGGAAAAGCUCAGCACAGAGAUGAAAACAAUUCAUACAUGAAACUGUAUUAUAUCAAGACGACAUCAGACCAAGAAGUUAAACAAACCCAAAUUAAGAACUGUUAAUGUGUGUAUAUAAAGCAAAAGUAAGGUUUUAAAAAAGCUGUAUUGACCCAGAUAACAAAAUCAGAUCUCAACACAGCAAAAAAAGUAAAACACAAUGACGAGGCUGAUGGUGUACCAUAGUGCGCAGUCACAAGCAAGAGGAAAGAAUAUAGGUCCUAAGAGUGAGAUCAUUUUUAUGUAUUUUUAAAACAUUCAAAAGAAUUUAUUAAGACUAAAAUUUGUACUGGAAAAGAGGAUUCUGGCUGUACUGGCUGAGCCGUAAGGAUGUAAGUAUAUGAGUGGAGUUAUCGGUCACCAGUGAAGUAAGAGUAAGUGUUGGAUGCUGACAGGUGAAAUACUAAAGAUGGGGACCUCUAUUAUUCAUAAAUAAAUUGAGGUAAUGGCACAAAGGAAUAAAAGGGUGGAGAUCCAAUAUACAGAAACACAGUACAACUGCUUUUCAGAACUAUUAGAUCCUGAACAUUCGGGAAGACAGGCUUAAACAUUAUGCAAGAUACCAAAGGAGUAUUUUCAAGAAGAAGUAGUCAAUGGACCAACAGAGAAUAUGGGCGGCUCUUAUAGAACAGAAAAUCAUGUCUUGCAGUGUAAUGGUGAUGACUUACGAGGUCUUAAUGGACAAGGAGCUAACCACCAAUGCUCAGGGUUACAGCGAGAUAAAAUGGCAGAAGUCAUUAGAAAUGAGGAAUCCGUUCAACCUCUGGGUACGGCACCACUGAAACUACCAGUAUAUCUAAUUCUGAUGUUCACAUUUAAAGCUGUUGAAAGAUUAGUUUGGGGGCAGAAAAGAGCCAUAAGAAGUGUAUGAGAAGAGCAUGUAACCGAGAAACUUAAACAGCUCAAUUGUGGGGUGAUUCGAUAACUACCUUCACAAGGGGAAAAUAUCAACCAGCACUUUUUAAUCUAGCAGAGACAUAAGAAAGACCAAGGGCUGAAAAAUGGAAGUGAUUCAAACCAGAAAUGAAACACACAUUUUUUAACAGUAGUGAUGAUUAAAUUUGGGAGCAAACUACCACCUGAAGUGAUGGAUUUUGCAACUCUUGACAUCUGGAACAUAUGUUCCUGUGAAAAGUUCAAGUUUUGAUAAAUAAGAAUAUCUUUUUCCUUAAAAAAAAAGCAAACAAAAAAAACCUAUUUUGUUAGCAAAUUCCUAGCCGAUAUUUGGGUUACUUCUCUACAUUAAAAGGAUAGUAGAUGAGCCAGAGAAAUUGCUCUGUGCAUUGAAAGUUGGUAAAAAUGAUAAUUAAAAGCAGAAUAAUGGAAUUCCUAGAUAAGAAACACGAUUACUGUAGGAGCUAAUUAUCACAAUGUCCGUAAUGAACAUUUUGCAUCACUAAUAUUUUAGAAUUAUUCAAACAUAUCUUUAUAAUAAUGAUCAAAAGGGAACUGCUUGACAUAAUCUACUUUAACAUUCAAAAACCUUUUGACAGCCUUUCUCAGGCAAGGCCUAUUCCAGAAGAAUCCUAUAUGGCCAGAUAUUUUGGGUGCUACAUGAAGUCAAAUCACAGACCGGCACGCAGAGAUUAGAAUAAGAGUCAGAACACUGCCUAGUAUUACAAACAGGUAUUUCACUACCAGAUUUUGCUUUUAUGUUGAGGUGUUAAGUGACAGUAUUCCAAGUAUAACUUUUGUAAUUGCAAUCAAGGCACCGAGAACUCUUGUGGAAGUGCUUUUAAUACACCACAGGAAUGAAAUACGGCACAUAAAGCACAAGCAACUUGUAGAGCAUCAUUAAACACACCACAAUCAUUAACGUGCCAAGGACGGCUUGUACAUCUGUAUGUAACACAAGUGGAGGAGCUGGGUUCCACUUUCUUUUUUUACAUCAGAAAAUUCCAGCUUAUCCUGAGUCAAUAGAAUGUGAAAUACAACUGAAAAAUACACCCUCUUGGGAAUUUUCAUUGGACUGAGAAUUGUGGCACUUCUCAGUAAAUGUCAGGCUUAUCAGUGUUGUGAGUAAGCAUCAGUUAGCUCUCAAACAAGCUGACUCUGUUCAUUUUCCUCAGUACUGUAUGUAAUAUUCUCCUGGCAGGGAACAGCUCUUUUAGUAGACUGCAGCACAAAUUUGUAAAAGAAGCUUGCCUCAGCUCUGAUCCAAGAACCAAAAGAGAUCCGGUAUGUACUGUAUCGCUGCAGAAAGAUCUGCUUUUUGACUUAAAGCCCGGAUUGCUUGAAGUUAAAGGAACGUAAGAGAUAUCAGUUUUUCCUUUUAGAGAAAAACAUGGAUUAAUUGUAAGAAAACACUCUUCUUAGUAUUUGGUUACCUACUCCAAAUUACAUCUGUAGCUUCAAGUAUGCCUUUGACCCACGAGUGGUUAACGACAUCAAUAUUUGCAACACAUUUUCAUCCUUUUAUAAGGGUUCUUUGUUCAUUUCCACCAUGUAAGCUUUUCUCUUUAUAUUGCUAGAUGAGACCUAGCAGCAUCUUGGUGAGAUCUUCAUUAGCAUUCAAAUAAAAAUUCAUCGCUUGCUUGUAUAGUGGGGGAGAUGAGUUCAGUGCUCACUGUUACCAUCAGAAGUGUUUACAUUCACAGCUACGUUUCAUUUUCUUUUGACAGAACAUAACAAAGCACAAGAAAGCCUGCACUGGGUCAGAUCGAAGGUUCCCCUACUGCAGUGCCUGCUUUUACAUACAAAUGUCUGGGGAAUGAGCUUAAGAACAUAGCCAGAAUACAGCGAUGCUUUCUUGGAACAUUAUUCUGUUUCCCAGCAUGCCUUUGGACUUUUUGAACCACUGACUUUGCGUUUGCUAUCUAACAGGUUAUGCCAUAACUUCAUUUUUCUCCAUUAACUUUUCCUAAUAACCCCAGAGCACAAGUAAACUUGGAGCAUCCAUAACAUCCCACAGCAAAGGAUUCUGCAGCUUAAUUGCAUGUUUUGGGAAGAACCAUAAGCCAGAUUGGUUUCAAGUUCUUGCUUUGGAAGAGACACUGAGAGGGCUUCAGAGUUUGGAGAGGAGGCAACAAGAGGGAUAUGAGUAAGGCUCAUAAAAUUGUGGCUGUAGCUACAAGAGGCGGACAGUCCAGGCAGAUGAGUGUCACUCUGACCCACUAGAGCAUUUCCUAAGUUCCUGUAACCAGAUUACCUGCAUCUUCAGUAGACUUUCACAGGACUGCACAGUGGAUUUGUGAAAUGCAGUUUCUCACUGGAAAAACGUUCCCUAACAGACCAGAUUUUAUCCAUUUAUACAUUAUAUUCUUACAAUUUCCACUCACUUGCUCUGUACAGACUCCAAUGUGACGGUCUGCAGUUCUCCAUUUCACUCCUGGGGACCUUCUCAGCAAUUGUUGUCACAUUAACCAUCUUCCAUGCCUCCUGCAGGGAGGCUGAUUUAAGUGACGGGUUACAAACUAUAGUAGCUCUAUAAUUGCAUAUUUGUUUUCCUUCAGAGCUCUUGAGUGAAUACCAUAUGGUCUUGGCACUUUCUGACUCUUCAUCUUAUCAAUUAGUCCUAAAAUGCAUUUUAAUGUCACUUAAUUUGAGACAGUUCCUUACACUUGUCCCCAUAAGUUUGGCUCUCAAGGGAGAAUAACCAACCUUAACCACAGCAAACAUCAACAAAGCUCUGUUUGCCUUUCAGUGCUUUUCCUCUCUCACAGUAAUUCACAAAUCUCUGGAAAAGUACCUGAUUGUGUUCAUUUUAAAUAUUUCUAGUCUUUCCUUAAGGAUUUCCUUAAGGAUUUCCCUUGCCUGCCCUAUAGGUUUAGCUUGAUAGUUUAUAGGUUUUGGUGGUGGGCUGUUUUGGUGGGGUUUUUCUUGUUUGUUUUUGUAGGUUUUGCUGUUUGUUUGCUUAGGGUUGCUGUUCUUUUCUGUUUCUUUUUAAAUAGUUUCUUUAUUUGCUCAGAACUCCCAGACUUUGAAUACUGACUUCCACUCAGCAGUUGGAAUAUUGCCUUUUUUGUCCCCUGCAGAAUCAUUCCACUUUGUGAUAUAUUGCUCUGAGCUUCGGAUAGGGUGUUUUCAUCUAGUUUCUCAUCUUCUGCAUGCUUAUAUCCGCUGCUUUUAAUUUCCUUUUAAGAAGCUCCUGCAUUUUUGAAUAGGUCCCAUUCAUAAGUUAGUUAUUACUGUGAAGUAGUUAUGGAAGGAAUCAAAUACCCUUAAGACAAUCUGUCAUUAACACCUCUCAGGAAAAAAAAAGAAAAAAAAGGAAAAAAAAAGAAAAAAAAGAUAGGUAUCAACCCAGGUAUUUCAAAAGCAAGCAGGCUUUGGAGGAAAGAGAACAGCCCCAGCUGGAAAGGAAAGGAUGGAGAGCACCGCCACCACACUGCACCCUUGUGGCUUACAGUAAUUCAUGAUUUAUAUGUCAUGGCUGAGCUGCGUUGUUUUUUGGGUGGCUGAGAGCAGGCUCAUGUGAGGGGAAAAAACUGGUCUCACAGAACAACAACAAAAAAUGCCAGCCCGAGAAUAAAAACAAAACAAGUAGUAUGGGGCCAGCCUCCAUGGGAUGCAAUGUGAGCCAUGCAGCCCCCUCUCUGCAAACAGGGCAAGCAUGCAGGGGUAACAGCUCUUUGGGCCACCAGCCAAUGCUGAGCCAGACUUGGACAUGUCAGCAGCUGGUCAAACUCAGCACCUUUGAGAUUCCAGUCCUUCUCAGCAUACCGGUGUGUCCGGGUGGCUUUCUGUUCAUAGCUGAGGGUGACCCAGCACAACAGCACCCUAUCUGCAGAGACAGGCUCCCUCCUCGUGCAGACAAGAUGUACAAAGUGAAGUGUAAAUGGGAGUGCAGAGCAGGCAGCUGGCAGCAUCCAGGCAGGCCUGCAGACACACAAUAACUCACACAGUGAGGUCUACCAGAUGUCUCAGCCUCACAAGGAAGCCACGCUCAUAUCCUACUGCUGGAACUGUGUUUUGCCUCCUGCCAUGUUGCUCUCCUGCAAAAAUGCUGGAAAAUGCUGGUGGUUUGAGAGUUACUUUCCCUUCCUAAAACUGGUGGUACCUCAGUUUCGUGUAGCCAAGUAAAUAUCAACAGGAAAUAAAUCACAGCUUGGAGAAAUGCUGUUCUCCACCCUUCCUCCAGCAUCACUUGUUUACACUGCUGCGCUGCAAUCUGAAAAAUGCCAUCUAUAAUGAAUACUAACUAGUGGGAGUCUCUCUCAGCAAUGUGUUACUAAGCCUGAUUGCUGUGCAGUAUAAUACGCCAGGGGAGAGCGGGGGCUGGCUGCGUGUCUCUGCUCCAUGCAGUCAUAGAAACUGUCAACCCUAGGUGCCUCUGUGAUCUCUGAGCAGCAUGUCUCCCUACAACCUUUCCUAGCUACCCAUUUAUUUUUAAAAUGUUACCUUGUUACUGUAGCUCUGUUCUUUCAACCAAUUUUAUUGUCAUUAUUAUUUCUAUUUAAAAUUCGUGUACUUUUGCAAUUUAAUCUUUUUUUCCGAGCCAAUUCACAGCAAUAUGUUAACUGCUGCCUUGUAAUAGAAGUCACCUAGAGGUAACGUUCAAAAGUCCUCACUAUUAAGAAAUGACUCACCUCUCUGUUGCGAAAUCUGCACCGAAUCGCCUUUCACUCCUGCCCUCGGUAACUUCAUGUGUCUCAGCUCCAUCACCAAGAACGUUUCCAGCCUCGCAGUGAGCGCCUGCCUGCGGAGGGCACACACAAAACCAAAGGAUGCCAGAAUGACAGAACACUUUUCACGCAUCAGUGAUUUCUAAAGUACUUCUGCAGCUCCUCAAGCUAUAAGAACCAGGAAGGAGAAGGGGACCUACACUAAAGAAGAUGGUAAAAAUAAAAAGGGACAUAGAAGUAAAGCAUCUUAACAGGUCCCCUGCACAUCCUUCAAAAUUCUUGCUCUCAAAAUGGAAUGCAUCUGCCUACAUUUUGGGACUCGGAGGAUACUUUGCAUUUCCCUCCUCUGCCAGUAGGUUACAUCUUCCAAACAUUUCAAAACACGACUAUGGUAAUUCUACACAACAAAAUGCACAGAAAAGAGGUACCGACCACAAGGCUCGUUAAUGCAUGAUUAAGGGUUUGUUGAGGCACGGGUUUUAUUGCCCUUUAGAAUACUGAAUUCAGGCAAAACUCAAGCUUCUGAAAUCCAGCAAAGGGUUCGUACUGAUGCAAUACAUGUUCAUCAUUCACUGACACACAGGAACAUCCAUAUAAAUAUACACACACCUCCUGUACACAAGGUACCAAAUGCACCAGCAGAAGUGCUUUGAGACAAAGUCUAAUACCUCGCUUAGGUGAGAUCAAACUUAACUGUCAGGUGGCUGUUUUGAACAGGAGAUAGGAGAACUCAUCACACAUGCGCUUACAAUGAGCUGUGCAAAGGUCAUUCUGUUCUGUGAAUAAGUCCGUGUCAACACUGAGCACAUAUUAGAGUUCAGAAAACACUUUGCUGAAGAGAUCCGGGCUUUGUGGGUUAAAAGGUUAUGAAAUUUAUUCUAAUCUCUAUUUCUAUUUUCUUAGAUCUUCACUACCAAUCUAUUACAGGGAAAGGAAGUUGGAGCAGCUAAAUUUAAGGUUUCCCAACUUCUUUUAAAUGACUCUGAUUGUAUCUGUACAAGACUAUUCAGACUUGUAGGACCAAACGUUCAGAAUACUCCCAAGCUAACUUGAAAUUUCUUAUUCAUGUGAGACUGAAUUUGCUCCUUAAUUUCUCAGACUGAUUUUUUUUUUCUUUUUUGUUAAAAUAUUCUUUUCACCAUUUUCUCAACAGUCUUUUGUGUCGUUAGCACAGGUUUUCUCCUGGUAAGAAGUCUAUAUCAUUGCCUUCACAACUGUCCUUAAAGUUCCUACAUGUUGAAGCAACUUGAAUCAUUAAAAGUUAUAUUCUGCAAGUCAAACAGAAUCACUAAGGCACCAAAAGAUUUAAUUUCCAGGAAGAGAAAAACACCUGGAUAAUCUGAAUUAUUUCUCAAGCACACAGAAACUAAUAAGGAGAUGAGGGCUUGUCAACAUUAACUCCUCAUGAAGCAACCAAGCUGACUGGGUCUAAUUUCCCUCUCUAGUAGAUAAGACUUUGCAGAUAGGGAAGAAGCAGCAGAUGCCACAUAGCUCAGUGUUACUGAGGCAUGCAACUUCUCCCACAUGACAUUCACGAGUGUAUGAAUGCCCAAGUUGAAGCCACAACACAAAUCUGGUCGGAAUCCACACACUGAGAUCAGUUUCCAAUGGUUCACUGUGAAAUUUAAAGGAGAAAUUGAAUGAUUAUUCAGCUUUCAUCAGUUCCAUUCAAUAUUUUAUUGAUAGCCAGGCUGAAGAAAUGGACUGUUUAUUAAACCUGCCAAGAUUAAAUCUGUGAAGAGUGACUACAAAUACACAGGAGAUAGAAGUAUUAAAAACUUCUGACAACUUGGACAAGCUGUCUAUAAAAAUAGGAAUCAUCUCAAUUGUAAUAAGUGUAGCAUUUUAACUUAGGCAGGAGCAAAGUACUCAAAUACAGCACAUGCAACAGGUGGGCAGAAAAAAAAUACCUGAAGGCUGUGAUAGCUCAAAUGCUGCGUGGAUAUAUUAACAGAAGAAUUACCUACAAGACAUCUUGCAGGUCCUCUUACUGUAUUCAAUAUUAGUAAUGCCUCAGUGCACAGGCAUGUCCAGUCUUGGAUAAUGCUCCUCAGGAAGGGCUGACAGGGCAAGCAGCAAGCAUAACAAUGGCUAGAGGUCUGGAAAACAUGACCUGAAUCCAAAGGUGGAGAAUAGAAGUGCUCAGAAGAGAGAAGACUGAGGAAAGAGGCAAUAACAGCCCUGACAGGAUCAGGACAGCCAGGACAGGUGCAGUAACAGUCCUGUAGCUCACAAAAGUCUGACACAAAGUGGAAAAGAAACAUUUUUGCUUAUGCCACGAAUGCCACAAGGUGGGUUUGAUCCUGUUGUGAAAGAAGAUGGACUCAGCCAUAAUCUGCUGAGAUUUCUCCCAGCUUCAUUCUACAAUGAUUCUAUGCUUAGCUGAUGCUGAUCAGUUUGUCUGUACUCAAUUUGUCCUGAUGUACCCAAGUGACUUCAUACAGUAAUUGCUCAUACACAUUUACAUCAUUUCUGCAUUAACAUCGUCAUUAAGGUUACAGUGUUAUACCUUCAACUUACCAUCUCACAACUAUCUGUCUUACAAAUACCUUAUCAAAAUGCUAUUUGCCAAACCAACCUGACUUGCAACUCAUUAAUCAGAAGCCAUUUGAAUAAUUAGUGUUCAAAUAUUAAUUCACUAAAAUCUUUGUAUUUUAAUUUUCCUUUCUAACCAGCACAAUGGGUAAAAGGGUUUAUAAGCGUUUGGCAUCACUGCUUUCAGUCUCAAAGAGCGUCAAUUAGAGCUGCUGCUGAUGGAGUCUCCCACUCCACUCACAUCUAUAGCUAUAAUUUUAGAAGGAAAAAAAUAUAUAUACAUAAAUCUUGGGCCUCUCAGAUUCAAACUCACAGAAGGCAUCAGAGCACUGCUGCUGCUAUUAGUAUCUGGUCUAUUCCCUAUUGCAGAAACAGAACCAGCAACACCUACACCCAUUCUGACACCAAAAGACACGUAUUUGAAUGUUUUCUCAGAUUAUCCGUUCUAGUGAUUACACAUCCCAUAGGAAGAAUAUAUUCCUAAUGGCUGCCACUGCAAUUCAACCUGUUAUCUCCAGUGUACACAGAAUAGCUGAAUGACACGACUACUUCUUAAUAGCAGUUACUCGCUUCAGGUGCCAAAGGAAAUCAGUGCUGCCUUAUCAAACAGCUAUAAUCAAUUAGUAAUAUUGAUCAGGACCAGCUAUAGCUCAGCUCCCCACAUGACUUACCAAACUAAAUGGUUGCACUGCAGUAUUGAUGGAAGGAGGAUGAAGACCCUCACAAAGCUGUGCAGGUUCUGAGAGGUAUGAAAAUAUACCUCGACUUCACUGGCAUGCAAUCAGUUAAAUCAACAUUAUAUAAAACCAGAAAUAAUGCAAGCCACAGACCUUGUUAGCUCUGUACAUCCUUACACCAUUGUUAAACUGAGUUGAUAUGUCAGAGAGAAAAUCCAAAAGAUUUCAGAUUUAUCAUGUUAAUUCUUUACAUCACCCUCUCAAGAAUUCACACUGCUGUCAUUUUCUCUUCCAUUCUGAUUACCUUCUUUGCAACAUAUUGGUUUUCUUACUUUUACUGAAUAAUUCCUCGUCUAUUAUAUCUAUAAUUAUUCUAAUAAUUAAGCAUGCCUUUUCAUCAGCUAGCAGCUAAUUACUUCUGCUCCUACCCAGCUCACUCAGAAAACAGUCAAUUCAUCUGUAUCCCUUUCACUCUCACUGUUGCUAAGCAGUCAAUGCCAGUCAGCAGUGGCACAGUAACUGGCGUUGUAUGGAUCACUCUGGCUUUAAGUGUAUUCUGCAGCAUCUGACUGGUGGUGCCUUUCAUCCUCCGAGCAAAUGCUUUUCACCAGUAAGCACGUUUUAGUCACAUGCUGAAGUGCAGCACCUGUAGGUAAAGACUGCUUAUCCCCACCACUUCCAGAGAAGCUUUGGAGCUGUUAGUAAGCAGCUACUACUUGCUGCAAGGUGCAGUUUGCAAUUGGAGAGAUCCAAAAAGAAUCAGCUAGAAAGCCAGCUUCUACCACCUGCAGAUUUCCUUCUUUUGUUGCCAGGCCUUACCCAUGACUUGCUAUGUGCAAAAGGAAGUUACAAAGCAGUCAGAUCUCUCACUUUUCUGGCGUUAUCACACACUAUCCUUCCAGACUUCUUGGUACCCCAUCCCAUGUCAGGUAACCUGAGAAGUGGAUAUCAUCAGCAUAACUCUGCUAUCUCACCUUGGCUCCCACAGCCUAGUCAAAGAGUCUGCUCCAAAACACACAAUCUAUUAUCAAGCUUCAGUGAUAUGGUAACAAAUCAGUCCUGACUGCUUUUCUCCAGUUACCUGUUAUUUCUUCUGUUGCAGGUGGGAGAGAGAAGCUGAUGCUUGAGAGCAGGGAUUCCAAAUGUCUCCAGCCCCAGCAGCCACUUCCUUGCCUGUUUACAGUCAAUGGUGAAAUGUUAGCAGCUGAUCAUUCCAGCCUUCCUAGACACCAGGCUAGGCCAAAAUCCUUAAGCCUUUCAUCCAGUUUAUGAUAUCAGACUCUGAAAUGAAAUAAAUAAAUAAAUACAAUUUAAAUAUUGGCAA